rnacentral:rRNA from 1 species
UUAAGCGACUAAGCGUACACGGUGGAUGCCCUGGCAGUCAGAGGCGAUGAAGGACGUGCUAAUCUGCGAAAAGCGUCGGUAAGGUGAUAUGAACCGUUACAGCCGGCGAUGUCCGAAUGGGGAAACCCAGUGCAAUUCGUUGCACUAUCGUUAACUGAAUACAUAGGUUAACGAGGCGAACCGGGGGAACUGAAACAUCUAAGUACCCCGAGGAAAAGAAAUCAACCGAGAUUCCCCCAGUAGCGGCGAGCGAACGGGGAGCAGCCCAGAGUCUGAAUCAGCUUGUGUGUUAGUGGAACGGUCUGGAAAGUCCGACGGUACAGGGUGAUAGUCCCGUACACCAAAAUGCACAGGUUGUGAACUCGAAGAGUAGGGCGGGACACGUGGUAUCCUGUCUGAAUAUGGGGGGACCAUCCUCCAAGGCUAAAUACUCCUGACUGACCGAUAGUGAACCAGUACCGUGAGGGAAAGGCGAAAAGAACCCCGGCGAGGGGAGUGAAAAAGAACCUGAAACCGUGUACGUACAAGCAGUGGGAGCACCUUCGGGUGUGACUGCGUACCUUUUGUAUAAUGGGUCAGCGACUUAUAUUCUGUAGCAAGGUUAACCGUAUAGGGGAGCCGCAGGGAAACCGAGUCUUAACUGGGCGUUAAGUUGCAGGGUAUAGACCCGAAACCCGGUGAUCUAGCCAUGGGCAGGUUGAAGGUUGGGUAACACUAACUGGAGGACCGAACCGACUAAUGUUGAAAAAUUAGCGGAUGACUUGUGGCUGGGGGUGAAAGGCCAAUCAAACCGGGAGAUAGCUGGUUCUCCCCGAAAGCUAUUUAGGUAGCGCCUCGUGAACUCAUCUUCGGGGGUAGAGCACUGUUUCGGCUAGGGGGUCAUCCCGACUUACCAACCCGAUGCAAACUACGAAUACCGAAGAAUGUUAUCACGGGAGACACACGGCGGGUGCUAACGUCCGUCGUGAAGAGGGAAACAACCCAGACCGCCAGCUAAGGUCCCAAAGUCAUGGUUAAGUGGGAAACGAUGUGGGAAGGCACAGACAGCCAGGAUGUUGGCUUAGAAGCAGCCAUCAUUUAAAGAAAGCGUAAUAGCUCACUGGUCGAGUCGGCCUGCGCGGAAGAUGUAACGGGGCUAAACCAUGCACCGAAGCUGCGGCAGCGACGCUUAUGCGUUGUUGGGUAGGGGAGCGUUCUGUAAGCCGUUGAAGGUGGCCUGUGAGGGUUGCUGGAGGUAUCAGAAGUGCGAAUGCUGACAUAAGUAACGAUAAAGCGGGUGAAAAGCCCGCUCGCCGGAAGACCAAGGGUUCCUGUCCAACGUUAAUCGGGGCAGGGUGAGUCGACCCCUAAGGCGAGGCCGAAAGGCGUAGUCGAUGGGAAACAGGUUAAUAUUCCUGUACUUGGUGUUACUGCGAAGGGGGGACGGAGAAGGCUAUGUUAGCCGGGCGACGGUUGUCCCGGUUUAAGCAUGUAGGCGGAGGUUCCAGGUAAAUCCGGUACCUUUUAACGCUGAGGUGUGAUGACGAGGCACUACGGUGCUGAAGUAACAAAUGCCCUGCUUCCAGGAAAAGCCUCUAAGCAUCAGGUAACAUUAAAUCGUACCCCAAACCGACACAGGUGGUCAGGUAGAGAAUACCAAGGCGCUUGAGAGAACUCGGGUGAAGGAACUAGGCAAAAUGGUGCCGUAACUUCGGGAGAAGGCACGCUGGUGUGUAGGUGAAGUCCCUGCGGAUGGAGCUGAGACCAGUCGAAGAUACCAGCUGGCUGCAACUGUUUAUUAAAAACACAGCACUGUGCAAACACGAAAGUGGACGUAUACGGUGUGACGCCUGCCCGGUGCCGGAAGGUUAAUUGAUGGGGUUAUCCGUAAGGAGAAGCUCUUGAUCGAAGCCCCGGUAAACGGCGGCCGUAACUAUAACGGUCCUAAGGUAGCGAAAUUCCUUGUCGGGUAAGUUCCGACC